CCCUUCACCCUCCUGAUGCUUUCCUCAGGCCUAGGGCGUUAAUGUGAAGAAUGAGUGGGUUUCAGAUUUUAUCUUUAAAACUCCAAAAGAUAAAGUUUGAAUUUGCCUGACCACCUGCAAUCAAGAAAAGACAAUGUAUCCAAUUACCAUAUAAUACCUUUCAGCUCUCAUCCAGACCCUUUCCUGUGGGAUACAAACAAACACCAGGUGCCCCCAGUGCUCUUGGCUGGAGCCUGAAUGGGACAGUCAACAUGGCCUGCUUGCCACGGUCAGAUGCAUCACAGAGUGGAAAUCUAUACAGAUCACAGAGGAAAAGAUCAGCCUCUUCCACAGUCUAUGAACUUCUAUCCACCUAUGAAUUUGCCUGCUGACCUGUGGAUGAUGCGUCUGCUCUGGAGGUAGUCAAGGGCCAGUGCCAGCUCACAGAUGAAGAGUUUCACGGUGCCUUCUUGGAAUCGCACAUUUUGUUGAAGAUGGUAACGCAGGUCCCCUCCAAGCAGCAGGUCUACAACCAUGAACAUAUCUUCCUCAUCUUGGAAUGAGUACCUAAAAAAGCAUAAACAUGGCUCAAGGAAUAUUUACAUAUAUAUAAAGAACAUGUUAAAAAACGACAUGUGGUACCUCUGCGAAUGCUCGUAAUUUCAUGGAAAUUCUUCACUUGGUAUCACUAAAUAAAGGAGAAAUAUCUUACCAUAGAUUUACCAAGAAGGGGUGUUCCAGGCCCUGCAUAAUCUGCAGCUCCUUAAAAACAUUUCUCACUUCAUUUCGCUCCAGACACUUCUGUUUAUUCAUGUAUUUCAUGGCAUACAUUUUCUUGGUAUCAUUCUUUUGUACAACACACACCUAAGUGAGUAAAUCAAGUGAUAAAACAGAGAUGAUUUGUCAGUAAAUUAACACAGUUGCCUGAGCAGUCUCCAGGUACCCUUAACAAAGCCCACGUUGAAAAGUCCCAGCUCUAUGCACUUCUCUGCAGCUCUGGACAUUGCCAGUGAAUACCUCAUCCCAUUUUCAGCUGAAGAAACAAUUUUUGUGGGGGAACAUGAGGGGAGGGAAUUUAUCACCACAAAGGCAGGAGACAGGGAAUCACAGGAGUAAACAUUUAAUUUAUUAGCAGUAAUAAAUCUUGAUCAUGUUCCAUCAAAUGGUCCACCCCCCCAAAGCAGUUACUGUUUUCAGUUGAAGAGGCCUUUCCA